GUAUGUCCAAUACCUUUGCACCCAAAACACUUUACAUCCUUUUUCUUGAAUGUAGGACAUUCAUAUUUGAAGUGUCCAUACCCUAAGCACUCAUGACAUUGCAUAUUUGCCUUCUUAAUAAUUUUACCUUCUUCUGGAUAUUUUUUGCUUGAGCUGAACCUCCUCUGUCCUUGUUCUUCUUCUACCUUCCUUAAUAGUUGAUCAAGUCUUUGAAACAACAAACUUUUAGGAUCAUAUUCUUCUGCCUUU
rnacentral:lncRNA from 1 species